UAGCGUUUCGAAAUGAUUUAUUUAUUCCAUAUUCAUAAAAGCUUCUUAUUAUGAGCAUGAUCUUAAAAUUUGUACAAUGAAGAAAGGACUCAGCUUCCGGUCCUAUAUUCCCAGAAUAUCUUGGGAUCGUUCGAUUAUCCUACUAUUAUUGACGGCGGCGAUAUUUUCAUUCGUUGCUGGCUCCAUAAUAUCAAUAUGGAACAAUCCGCAGCAGUAUUGUCAAACCAUUUACCAGGUACCAUUUCGUGAAUUUUCAAUUAACAUUGCAUGAUUUCUAUUAACUUUGUAAAAUGUAUACGCACAGGCGGGGCUAUGUGGUAAGCAGUGUGCUUCCCAACUACCUGGUUCCAGGUUCAGUCUCUGCGUGGAACUUUGGGCGAUUGUCUUCAACUAUAGUCCCGGACCAAACAAUCAAAGCCUCGUGAGUGGAUAUGGUACACAGAAACUGGAAGAAGCCCAUUACACACACACACACACACACACACACACAUGGUUCAAAUGUACAGAAAACAAAAGACAAAGACAAGUGAGGGAACAAUAAGCAGGUGUAUUAGUUUGACGCUUGGGAAGAAUGGAAAAAUCUUUGACGUUUCGAGCUUACGCUCUUCGACAGAUAUGUAAGUGUGUCUGUGUUUGUGUAUGUCUUCUAAUACCGUUUCACAACCGGUGUUGAUUUGUUCUCAUAACUUAGCAGUUCAGCAAAUUGAACUGAUAGAAUAAGUACCAGUCUUCCAAAAGAAGAAAAGUACUGGGGUCGAUUUGUUCGACAAAAACCCUUCCAGGCUUUGCCCUAGCAUGGUCACAUUCAGCGACUGAAACGAAUAAAGUGAAAUUAAGCCGCUAGAAACUGCCGAACCACGUCUAUGUCGCUUGUGUACUCGUAAUUCAGAAGAUAUAUUAUAUUUUUCACAAACGACAGAAUUUUUUCACAGAGAAAAUAGGUCCGGCAGAAAAACGUUUUCGAGACUGUAAUGCACAGUUUAAAGGUUGUGCUGAAAGCUUCCACUAACACCGAACAAUGGGCAAACACUUCAGAAUCGAGAUAUUAAGAAACUAAUUUUCAAUACCGAAGCAACAAGUAAAAGAAAAAUGAAAAACUCUAGGCAAAAACAUUUAUGGUGAAAAAUAUCCACGUUGAAGUAGAAAAGGAUUUUAAAACGAAAUGUUUGUCUUUAUUCUAACAAAAAAUAGAAUAAAUGAAAUCAAUUAAGCAGUCAGAAGCGGUAAUUACGUUAGAAAUGUAAUGAUUUAUCUAA